rnacentral:rRNA from 1 species
UACGGGGGGGGCAAGCGUUAUCCGGAUUCACUGGGUUUAAAGGGUGCGUAGGAGGGCAGGUAAGUCAGUGGUGAAAUCUCCGGGCUUAACUCGGAAACUGCCGUUGAUACUAUCUGUCUUGAAUAUUGUGGAGGUGAGCGGAAUAUGUCAUGUAGCGGUGAAAUGCUUAGAUAUGACAUAGAACACCGAUUGCGAAGGCAGCUCGCUACACAUAUAUUGACUCUGAGGCACGAAAGCGUGGGGAUCAAACAGG